ensembl:lncRNA
AUUACAUCGCACCCCAGCACAAAAGCCCUGCUUGCCAUUGCCUGUGUGCCUGGUCAUUAUAAUGCAAGAUGGGACGUUUCUCAAAGUGUAGAAGAGAAGAAUGGUGGGGCAGAACAGUGACUGGGCAUGAUGCACAGCCAUUAAACUAAUCUUUCCACUUGUAACCUUUUCCAAUAAGACGUGAAAGGAAGCAGGGGUGAAUUAAGGACAUUUCAAGACCUGUGCACUGACCAGAAAGGAACAUUUAAGCUAAGUCAAGAUGGCAGACACUACAAGAUCGCUUGAGAGUGAAAGCUGCGCCGUGCUGGAACCAGCACUGGACAUCAGUGGAGGAAUAACGCUGGAGGCCCUGCAGACUUUAGAAGAAGCAGGAGGGAGUCAGACUGCUCUGGUUAUGACUGAAGGAGAUGAUUCUGUGUUUUACAGUGAAGAUGAAGAAAUUCCACAGGAAGUUUCCGUCUCUGAUCCACGGUCUGUGUCUUUGGGACCCAUAGGGCCUCUAGAGCCUCAGUCUUCACCACAGAUUCUGGAUUUGGGAGCUGAAGAGCUGGUGCAGUCUCUGAGUCACAGCACUGAGCUAAUGGAAUCCGGAUAUAUGUAUUAUAGCGGUGCCGAGCAGGAGGAAGUGGAGAAUAUAAUGGAGAGUAAAAUAAACCAUAUUUCAUCAUCAGCCCAUGUUCCAGCAGUGGAGGGUGAGACUGAAGCGGCACUCGAAGAGCUUUUACAGCCUUCAACAGUACCAUAUGCAUGGUCUACUAGAAAUGAAUCUGCAGUGUUGUCUGCAGAAGAAAAGAAGCAGGCAGACAACAACUCACUGGGACACGUGACGACUGGGAUUCCAAAAGAACUGCAUCUGGAGCAGCCAACACUGGAAAAAGUUUGAUUUGAGUCUGUUUCAGACUCAGCAGAGGGCGAUGAAAGCACUGCACCAAAUGAACAGCAUGAAGAAACAGAGGAUCAGGAACAAGACAGACAUGUAAAAUACGGAACGGUCUCAUACCGGCGCAUCCGCAGGGGUCUCACGCGCCAGAGGAUCGAGGAGUUUGAAGCCAUGAUGCAGCUGUAAACGGGCUGGAAGACCACCAGAAAAUGUGAGCUCAAGAAGCAGACUGGGACUGAACAAAAAAAGAAAAACAACAUUUUAUGCCUUUUCAAGAUAAAACAUGUUUGCUGUGUUGCAUUUACUAGCCCUUUAACAACAAUUUACCCAGAUUGCAGUUCACUGCAUGAAUGCGUGAUCAGCUAUUAGGGAUGGAUUUCUGAGCUGAAACAUAUGAGAAAAUACUUUUGGUUAAUUAAACACUAAAACACUACAAGACUUAACAGGUAAGAGGAUGAAGGCACACAAUCCUCCAGAGAAAAGACUCAUUACUGGAAUAUUUGUACAGCUCAACUACUAAGCUCAGACGCAACAGGUCAUUUCAUACCGCAGUUCAGCUGCAUUGUUAACAUGUGUGCAUUCUUGUAUAAAUUUCAUCAGUAUUAAUCCUGGUGUAAUGCAUUGUAAAGUUUCUGCCAGACAUGAUCUACUGAAUAUUUAUACAUUUAACAGAUUGCAUGCUAGGCUUGCAUCUUGCUUUGUACAUUGCAUGAGUAACAAUAAAAGGAAACUACAACCAAAUCUACA